GGAGGUGAUGGCAUUGAUCUUGCCAAUCCAUGGUCUGUCUAGGAUGCCGUUGUAAGGUGAAACCUCAUUAAUGACCACGAAUGUUUGCGAGCUGAUUACAGGUGAGGAGUAGACGUCGAGGUCUAUUGUGCCCACGGUAACCGUUGUUGCACCAUUAAAGUCGAUCAGCGAUCUGGCUAAUUUGUUGAUCUUUGUCUCUAAGCUCAUCUGUUGGAUGACCACCAAUUACAAGAUAUUGGCUGCACUGCACUCGUCUGCGUGGAUUCGGUCGACCAUGGCCUGAGCGAUUUGAAUGCUGAUGACAAGGGUGUCGUUAUAUGGCAUGUCGAGGCCGAUCAGAU
rnacentral:lncRNA from 1 species